rnacentral:rRNA from 1 species
GCCGCGAGGUAGAGCAAAUCUCAAAAAAACAAUCUCAGUUCAGACUGCAGGCUGCAACUCGCCUGCACGAAGUCGGAAUUGCUAGUAAUCGUAGGUCAGCAUACUACGGUGAAUACGUUCCCGGGCCUUGUACACACCGCCCGUCAAACCAUGAGAGUUGGCAACACCCGAAGUCGGUAGUCUGACCGCAAGGAGGACGCCGCCGAAGGUGGGGUUGAUGAUUAGGGUUAAGUCGUAACAAGGUAUC